rfam:TPA: Bos taurus chromosome 12, whole genome shotgun sequence.
UCCCUGGUGGCUCAGACGCUAAAGCGUCUGCCUGCAAUGCAGGAGACCCGUGUUCGAUUCCUGGGUCGGGAA